rnacentral:misc_RNA from 1 species
GGGACAACAUUCUUUGCUUGUUUAGAAAUUGAGUCCUGGCUUUGUUAAGGAUGGAAUUUGGCGACUUGUACAUUCUCUUAUCAGUUCCAGAUACACGAUGCUGAGAAGCUGGGAGAUUCUUCUUCGGUGUGAAACCAAAUACAUCAUGAAGAAACUCAUUUUCCUGCAUAUGCUUCACAAAUCCUCCUCCAAGGAAGUGCUUAAGGAAGUUUAACUGUAUCAGAUGAGCCCAAGUACUUGUGCUAAGCAAUAGCCCACCAAUCUUGACUGAGGUUUCGGGACUAUACCCAUCCUCUAGAAAUUCCAAUAUAUCUCGG